CUUUUAAUUCUUUUUGGAGACUCACCGGGUUCUGUUGUUUUUUGAGAGUAUAUGUUUGAAGAGUUUGGAGUUUGUCGUAAACAGCCACUGUCGGGGUCUGGGAGUAUCUGUUUGCUUUUUGUUUCUUGCCUGCUAUUUACUCUGCUUAGUCCAUAGGUGGCAUGGGAGCUCAUGGGCACACAGGUGACAGGUGUGGCUGAUCCUGCUGAUUGCUGCUGGAAGCAUUUAAGCAGGAGGCUGCCAGCACUUCAACGCCUGAGUGUUAGCCAACAGUGUUACUUUCAAGCCCUGGCUGUGUUUCCAGUUUGUUUCCUGACUUCUGGAUCUAAGAUUCAAGCCUCCUAUUACCUUCUCUAGACAAACUUCAAGCUGGCAGCUUCCUGGCUCUGCGAUCCACCAGCCACAAUCAUAAGUGAACCUUGUUCACCCUCCAAUGAGCUCCCAUGCAAGCCCCACCACCCAGCGCACCACACCACCUACUUCACACCACUGACUAAGCUUAACUGGACAUCCCGGAAACCUCCUUCAAGCAUCCAUAGACCAACUUACCUUGGGUAUUACCCUCUUCGGUUUCCUCUGGUCUCGUGCUCCCAGACUCCACACCUUUCUUUCCCCCUGGCGGUUCAGUCAUCUCCUCCAAUCAGCAGAGACAAACCAGCCUACAGCUUGAGCAGAUUUCCUCCAUGAUACAACAUGCCCUGAACAGGCAGACCCCUGCAACUGCAGAUGGCACUGCAGCUUCCCAGAUCUCACAACAGCUGCCUCACUCACGUGACGUCAUUUCCCCUAACCCAGAGAAGUUCUCAGGAGAGACCACUAUCAAGAAAUACUAAGCCUGACGCCCUGUCCCGACAGUUCUCUGCCGAUGACUUGGAGAAGGAACCCACACCUCUUCUGCCUCCCAACUGGACUACUGGUUCACUCACUUGGGAGAUUGAAGAUUUAAUCACAACGUGAUGAACCCGAUCCCAGAACUGGUUCACCUAAUUGAACCUUUGUGCCUUUGUCUGUCCACCUUCAACUUAUUCACUGGAUCCACUCUUCAAAGUGUUCAGCCCAUCUUGGAGCCACCAGGACCAUUGCACUCAUCUCAAGAAGAUUUUGGUGGCCCUCACUGCAUAAAGAUGUUAAGGAGUAUGUGGCAUCUGUGCCAGAAAUAACCACCCUCCGGACUUCUCAAACCCCUUCAUGGUCAUGGUGGAGCUCAUCUCUAGGGGGGAUGAGUCAUCCCAUAAGGACAAGAUGGAACGGCUGACAGCGUGGUGCACAGAGAACAAUUUGCUGCUCAAUAUCUUCCAGACCAAGGACAUAAUAGUGGACUAUAGGAAAAAGAGCACGGACAUUUUACCACAGUCAGUGGGGGACUGUAUGGAGAGGGUGACUGACUUCCACUUCCUAGGGGUCCACAUCGAGGAGAACUGAACUAAAGUAUGAAGCUGCUGAAGAAAGCCCAGCAGAGACAGUAUUUCUAUGCUUAGGAGAAAUAACAUCACACAGAGGCUGGUGGAGUCCUUCUAUCUGUGCUCUAUUGAGAGCAUAAUGACCUACUGCAUCUGUGUGUGGUCCACCAGCUGUACAGUGACCCCAAGGAGAGAUCUCCAGAGAGUCAUUAAUGCGGCCCUAAAGUUCAUUAGCUUUCCUCUACCCAAACUUGAAGAACUUCACAGCUCCUGCUGUUUCCAAAAAGCCUAGAACAUCAGAAACACACUUCUAACCCAGGUCAUGCUCUGUUAGAACUGGUACUGUCAGGCUGACGAUAUAGAUCAAUUAAAGCAAGGACAAGCAGAUUCAACAACAGUUUCUAUCCAACAGCAGCAGCUAAACUCAGCCCAGUCUGAAUGUGAAGGAGAUGAAGUAAUAGAAAUAUGCUUCAGUAUGAAUAUGUUUUUCUUUUUACCGAACUGCUCCAGUUUUUCUAUUUGACAUAAAUCAUUCAUUGCUCUAUGCACAGACCAGGUAGCUUUUUCUCUCAGUUUUGCUGAACUUGUGACGAUGACAAUAAAAGAUAUUCUGAUUCUUUU